UACGUAGGUCCCGAGCGUUGUCCGGAUUUAUUGGGCGUAAAGCGAGCGCAGGUGGUUUAUUAAGUCUGGUGUAAAAGGCAGUGGCUCAACCAUUGUAUGCAUUGGAAACUGGUAGACUUGAGUGCAGGAGAGGAGAGUGGAAUUCCAUGUGUAGCGGUGAAAUGCGUAGAUAUAUGGAGGAACCCCGGUGGCGAAAGCGGCUCUCUGGCCUGUAACUGACACUGAGGCUCGAAAGCGUGGGGAGCAAACAGG
rnacentral:rRNA from 1 species